AGGGCGGUGAUGAUUCCAACAUGCCAUCUGAGUGCCCAUGCUGAAACCCAGAGGCUGUUUCUGAGCUG
rnacentral:snoRNA from 1 species